rnacentral:rRNA from 1 species
UACGUAGGUGGCGAGCGUUGUCCGGAUUUACUGGGUGUAAAGGGCGUGCAGCCGGGUCUGCAAGUCAGAUGUGAAAUCCAUGGGCUCAACCCAUGAACUGCAUUUGAAACUGCGGGUCUUGAGUAUCGGAGAGGUAAUCGGAAUUCCUGGUGUAGCGGUGAAAUGCGUAGAUAUCAGGAAGAACACCAGUGGCGAAGGCGGAUUACUGGACGACAACUGACGGUGAGGCGCGAAAGCGUGGGGAGCAAACAGG